GAGUUCCACUAAGCAAGUUUU
rnacentral:miRNA from 4 species